GCUCCAUCCAGUUAUAUCGAUUCUGCGAGUGCAUGAAAAUUCAAAAGAAAGUCCCGUUUUAUUUUAUAUCUUCAUGAACAUUUGUCAAACGGGUUUCCACUAAUGGAAGACGAUCUAUUGACUCAGUGAAAACGGUACUCUAUCGAAAACCGGAUUACCUUCAGGCAAGAACCAAGAGAUUUGACAAGAUAAAGUUGCCAGUGUUGGCAACGUCAUUUACAAAAGUAAACAUCGGAAAUAUAUCCUCUGUAUUCCUUACCACCUACCGUUUCGAGGGAACUUCUAAGAAACUUUGUAACUCUCUUUUACUUGCUUUGCUUUUUCUUCCUUCGCUUGAAAGUAUCGCGAAAAACAUCUGAACACUUAGCAUGGAGUCUCCAACUCUAGGAUUACACUUAAACGUAUAGUAAUGCAACGAAUAACUGACACCGUUAAUCCGGUGACGAAAUAUAGGCUUACGAUAAAUAUCUUGUAACUUCUAUGUACACUUUUAAAUUGGUCUUCAGCUUUAUCAAUAUAAUCGUGAUAGUCGAGCCUCUGGUUAUAUUGUCAAUGACAUUUCAAAAUGUCUUACGAAAAGAAAUUUAAAUAUGUAUGCGCAAGCUAUUGUACCUUGAAAAAUGAAAAGAGACCAGGUAGGAAAUGUUAAUCAAGGAAGACGGUAUUUAACGUGGACGCAAUACGUUGGAAAACCGGUUGAAUCAGACGAGUUGGCAAAAGUAACGAGCCAGAUACCCAGGUUUUGCGUUGUACUCAACCGAAUUACGAUAACCGUGGCCUACGAUCGUAUUAGGCACAGCAGUCCUUCCUCGUCUGUGUCCUUUCACUCGAACCAGCUGCCAUGAACUACCUAAACGGUUUAAGCAGGUACUUACAAGUUAUUAGAAGGAAUAGCCCAUCAGUAAACUACAUGGUAUCUCACCUUACCGAAACCCCAUUAGGGGGUUGUAUCCAAACAGACGACAGGGGGGUAGAGGGGUAUGUAUCCAAAUAGACGACAGAGUUUCGGGGCAGUCGAAUGGGAACAACUUCGGACUUCGAACGGUACAAGUGGGCCACCUAUUUUCGGCGGCUCUCGAAUAAUUCAAUGCAGGCUGAGAAAAAUGUUGCGGCUGUAACAGUUGCUAAGGAUGUGACGUGACGUCGAGGAGCACCUUAAAUUUCACGAGAAACUACCUUGAACUUGCGAUCUACUUUACAGAGUCUGUCCUCAUCGCUUGUGCAAUCGAUUAUUGCGUAGAACGUUGCCCGAGUUAAUUACGAUUCUCUUUGAGCAGCUCAUUAGUAGCUUGUGUCAUAUAAAGAUGCGAUUCUCAGAUUAGAUUAACUCUCUGUCAAUGACAGAGCUGCAACGGUGUGAGGCGCACGGUUCGCGUAUCUGUGAGCUACGUGAAACCGCGUAAAUUCAAGUGUAACGCGUUCUCUGGUCGAUUUGUAAAUCGCACAGAAGAAUCCUUUCACUCAGUGACAACGGAUUGAUAUAGAUCAUCCUGUUGGAAACGAGUCAAACUGUUUGGCUUGAAGAGCUCGUCUCAGCUCAGGGAUUAAGUUAACGAAGAGAACUUUCCAUAGAAUUUUCGAAUGAAAUUUACGUGCAAAUCGAAUUGAGAAAUUUAAACGACAGUUUGAUAAAUAUACGCUACUGUCCAUAGGUAGGUCGGUAUUUACAAUUGGUGGAACUUGGUCAAGUGGUUUGUAUUUUUCUAGAAGCGAAUUAAACUUGGUUCUGUUCAUUUUUGGCUAUAUUUAAUCCGGAAUCGACGGUUCCUGUAUAUGAAAGACGAGAAUCGUAACAUUAUAAGACAGUUUUCAUAGAACAGCAUAUUGUUAUAAAAAAAUCAUUGUACCCUCCGAAAUCAUGAGAACGUGAUGCUUUUAAGAAUCAGAAUGCACGAGUACAUUCUUAGAAACUUAAACUAUAACUGACUUAGGUAAGAUCAAAGCGUCAAAGAUAAAUUGAAAACUUUUAUUCGAAUCUGCAAUAAUGAAUGUAAUCAAAUAUUUAUCAACGACAGUGUCGUACCUGUUCCACUUGUAUAGAGAAACAGGCAUUAUCCCAACAAAAAGUAUUCCGAGAAAAAUACGGAACGGUUCUAAAUUAUCGUGGAAGAAAAUGCAAAGUAAUUGAAAACACGCUAUAUCUUGAUCACGUGGACAUCGAUCUUUAUACGCUGCAUCGUCUGGCCCAGACACUGGCGAGCUUCGCCGCGACUUCCGUGUGGCGUUCACGCGCUGCCAUCGACGGAGCUUACGAAUUGCGCGUAAAACCAACGCACGCGAUUGCAUAAUGUGCUUGCACGAGUGCAACGGUGCACACGUGUCAGUGCGUGGUACGAUACCGUGCGACACCGUGGUACAACUGGCUGUUGCUAACUCGUGAAACCGCACCCUGUCUGUGGUGUCGUUUCACGAUUUUAAAACGCUUUCAGAACCGGGAGAAACGAGAGUCGAAAAGGCUCGCGAAUGUAACGCUAGAUCCAUUGAUUCACCGGAGAAACUUUUGGCAGAACGAUUUACCAAAAGUGACGCUAAUAUAUUCGUGAGUGCACCGCCGUUCGUGAGAAUUAGAGCACACACUUGCAGAAAAUGAGGCGAGCUUUAAGCGUUCUUAGGAAAUUAUUAAAAUCCUCGGGAAUUUAAUUUUAAGUAACUAGAAAUAUAGCGAAUAUCUGGAUUAAAGCGGUCGUUACAAGGUAUAAACCAGACAAGUAUAAUAUGUAAACUCCAUUCUUUUGAAUUAUAGUCACAGAAUUACGAAAGCGCAUAAAUAUUCGCGGUCUAAUUACCACAUUCUGCAUAAAAGCCGUAUAUAUCCUAACAUUUAUAAACGAGGCCGUAAGAACGUGCGAAUCGUACGUGGACGUUACAUAAACAAACAAAGAACGAGGAACUAACAACGUAGUAGUAUCCUGUGAUAAAAUGAAUCUCGACAACACUGACAAUGUCAUCGAUUGGUACGCGUACACACACCGUUUCGUGAUUCGGUCAGCCUAUCCCGUUCCUGUUUCCUGACUUCCUGUUUUUCUAACUCGAAAGCAGGGCCAAGCCCAUCAGGCGAAGCGAUCUAGCGAAUCCAAUGGCAAGCUGGUCGAAUUAGAUGGUAACGCCGAUCGCUAGAAAUACAUCACGAGUCGCGUACCUUUUGAUUCUAUCCGUGAUCGUGCUGCCAAAAGAACGUUUCCAACACCAGCCAAAAAUAAACUCGCGCUUCCGGUAGGCUUGCGCGCUGUUUCGCAGUGUUCACUACGAAAGACAGUGCAGAACGAGGAUCGGCGAAAAGAUACGUUCUCGAGCUUCUGCCUCGCACUCCACCCCGUUGUUCUCGUUUCCUCCAUUCCGUCUUUCUAUCGUGCACUUCCGCGAAAAUAAUAACGUCACUUUUACCGGAACGACAGAGAGAAAGGCAGAGAGACAGAGACAGAAAGGGAGGGAGAGAAGGUAAGAGACGAGACAAAUCAGAAUUAAGGAGCACUAGGACGCGACGAUCCAACACGCUUCUCAGACGGCAGUUUUUACGAAAAUCGAGAGUUCUCUCUCUCUCGUCCUCUCGCGAUUGACCUACCGCGUUCCACUUUUGCGGAGUACAGCCACGAAACUGGGUCGACUGGCCGAAGUAACAAGGGGUGCACGGUUUGCGGACGAAUCUAUCCCGGCUAGCAGUGUUGUGAUGAGAAGACAUUCUCAAACACCGACGACAGCUUUCAGAAUUAACCUACGAACUUUCCAGGGAUCUUAACAUAUACGAGCUCGCGAAAGUAUCCCAACACUCGCAACCUAGGCCAAUCUCUUGUAAAUGUACUGUAUAUGCCAUAGGAAAUAUUUUGGAAUUUCAUUAGCACCGCUAUGAGACUCGACGAUCAUGCGAAUAUAAUUAUAUUCGCGUUUUUCUAACACAAUAUAUAUCCAGUACAAGCGUGCACCUCGCAGAGAUGAGAAAUGACAUGGAAAAUAAAUAACGAACUUUCUAUAACGACAGAUGUAAGACACUGUUUUACCGGAAAUAACGGUGGAUUAAUUUACAACAAUUUGCCGUGAGAUGUAAUGCUUCGCAAGAUACCCGGCCGAAGACUGUUGGUAACGCUAAGUAAAGUUACCGAAGUGAAUGUUUUAUUCCGUUUGUGUAAUUUCGUAAGUCUGAUUGGCGGGAGAAAGUAGAAUCGCGCACCAUAUAAUAGCACGCAGUUUCCAUAAAGGAAAUUCCAAAUAAUUCACUGUGCGAACGAAUAUAGCGAAGUAUCCGAUUCUUUGUGAUACCGCCGAUUGCCAGUUGCCUUUCAGAGGCUGGUUUCCAAUCGAAUUUCACCACGAUAAUUAACAAGAUCAAAAUUAGUCGAUUAUAGGAAACUUCGAUCACGUAGAAAAUGAGCUGGUAGUUCUUUAAGAAGAAAAAUCAAUAAAUAGCAGGCCUCGUAAACUCAUACAACGAUAGGAUUUUCGCUAUACGCAGUCGAUACCUGUUUCCCCUCACAAUGUUCGACUCUCUAUUCGCGAUGAAACAGGUUCUCCGCUGCUGUGCCUCUCGUUUUCGCGUUUCCACCGGUAUCCUCGGUUAGAAUCGGAGUAGAAAAAACCGGAAGAUAUUCGCAGCGGCGCGCUUUAUCGCGAUAACACGGCCACGCGAAUGCAAAACAGCUGGAUGUGGUCUGACUGGGAAAACAGCGUUCACCGUUUCUAUCGAAUCGCGUGCAAACCGAAAACAGACAUCGGCGAUCUUUGCUACGCUUCGAGAUCUCUACGGAAGGACGGAAAGAGGCUCGUACCUGUUUCGUAUAUCUAAUACACACAGAGACCGCGACUAUCCAGUUUCACGAUGAUAAUCAACGCUGUAAGUGUAGAAUACAAUAUCGAAAUCCGAGACGGCCCCGAACGAGAUACAGCGGUGUCGUUUUGGAUUCUUUUCGCUACAUCCGCUCUGUUUUUGGCACGGUCGUGCGAGCACCCAUCCUCCUGCACUUAUCACUCGAGUACUGCCAGUCAGUGCGAAUUUAAAUGGCCUGACGGCUACAUAAAUCGAUUCACAGAGUGACAACAACCGGUGACGCUACGCUAACAUCAUGCGUCACUUGUUCAUCGAGCAACAGUUAAUUCGGUUUGUCUUCUCUUCAAAAUAAUGAUACCUUUUCUUGACGAUCUUCUAUCUUUUUAUAUAUCGUGCUCAGCGUAAUUAAAAAUUGCAAGAACAAAAUUGUAAUAUCAGAGUAACGAUAUUAAAAUGACGUAAAUUCGAUGGGUGGAACGAGUCUUUGCUCGAAUUCCAUCUCUUUAAUUACGUUGGAGAAACCAUCAAUUUGCAUAAAAAUCUACAGUCUGCUAAUGAAAGAUAUACUCGAAAGAAGUCGAUCGUUAAUGGACACUGUUCGAGUUUCUUUUUCAUCCGAGAUGAUCUCCCAACGAUAGUCGAUUUUCCUCGGUCGUCACUGCACUUUGAUAUCUUCUCAACGGAUCACACAAACGAUAUGGCAAUUCGUAAGGUAAAUUCGCGAAACGGGUUGAAAGCAGCGGAACACGAACAUUGCAGCAAGUUUCUCGUUAUCAUAGGAAAGUGUCAUGGAGCCUGGCAGCGACUAGACCGACGAAUAGCCGCGUUGUUUCGAGCCAGCUUACGCGGCGAAUAAACGACAGGCCUGCUGUGUUUUGCACGACAUGUCGUGCCGCAACGUGUCACACGGUGCGCCGCCUUUUACAUUGAUGAAUGUCUCGACGAGGGAAGGGCAUGACGUCAAUUCGCUGGAGGGUGGAAAAGGGCUCGACGAGGAUUUUUUUUAUAGCGUACAACCACUUCACCUGCUUCUCGCGUUCGAGUUACGCGAGUACGUACUAAAUGCUGCACCCUACACGAGCGUCCACUCGUCGUGCUCGUUUCCUCCUAGCAAGAAAUCACACCCUAUAAAUUAGACUGCAGAGGGAAGCAAACUCUGAUAAAUAAAAAGUCAUCGUUUCUCGACGAUCCAAUUAAUCAAACGAUGGUCGAUUGGUUGAGGGAUCUACGUUAACCAAACGAACUCGAACGAACGACGAUAACUAUGAGUCGACCAGCAGCGCAAUUACGUAAAAAUGCAUCCGCGUCCGGUGAACCUUUGGGGACUGAGAUGCCUCAAAAAAACGGUGCAAAGAGCGUCUUGUCGCGAGACAAAGGUUUACUAGAGUGGCUGGGGGACAAGCGAAGAGAAGAGAGAAUCUCAAAGGGGUAAUGAGGCCGGUGGGUGGAAAGUAGUGGGUGCAGAUCUAGGUUACCUGCAUAUUAUGCAACCAACACCACUGCAAUUCCGCGGUUGCACGUGCAAUCGUAGGCACAUGCACGGAGAUCAUUAACGACUCCGUGUUUCGACCGCUCCGUUCAAUUUCUAAUUAGCGUAUCGACGUUCCACGUACGGACUCUAUAAAUCUCCAGAAUUACGGAAUAAUCAUUGGCAAGAAUUUAUAGAAUACAUUAUCGCACCCAAGCAUCCAGACACGUGGUUAUUUUUGACAAGACGAAUUAUUAUCUAAUUAUUGGAUUGUUCGAAAAGCUGGCGGUAAAGCGUGCAAUGGCGUUUAAUAGGAUCAUAAAUUUAUCGCAUAAUGUGCAUCUAUAUCGUAUUUUUUACCAUGACAUCUUCAUGGUGAAUGGUAAAUAAGUUUCGACGAAAUCCGAAUGAAAGUUCGAAAUGGAAGAAAUAUAAAAAAAUUUAAUAGUACGUUCGAGUAACAAUUUAAAUCAAUAAUAAACAUUGCUCGAGUUCCUUAUAAUUUUCUGGCCAUUUCUCAGAUCUACCUUGCUCUGUGUAAGUGGCCAAUGUUUACGAACGACGGUGUAUGUUUAGAUCCAAGGUACGAGUGGGACCAACUCAUGAAAACCAGAGAACAACGAGGAUGGAAAAUGCAAGAUCUAAUCCUGAAAUAAGACUAAGAAGAAGCGAAUAUUUUUGGCGCGACGACGUAUCCUCGCGGUCCUUAAACGAGCUCAUAUCUUUGCCUCGUACUUUUGGCACGUACGUCGCUUCUUCGAACGUUAACGAUUCCUAGCAAUUUCUUCUCUUUUUCUCUUCCACGCCAAUGACCCAAUAAUACAGGCACGCGAGUGUUCCUCGUGCCUCGACAAAGAAACACGUGCGACUUUCAGCGGCUUCGAAUAACGAUCCGAGGUCGGUCUUUGUUGCCACGAUCAUUUAUGGGACGACAAAACACGUGGCGGGCGAAUUAUGUCAAAACAACGCGGGGGCGUUGAAUCCUAAACGGAGGACGAUGAACCGCGCUGUUUUGGACGGGCGCGCAAGAAAAUUCAAGGUGACGACCCAGGGUUCUUGUACGAUCCUCGACAAAACGUUCUCCCGUUUCUCGAAAUAAAUUUAUCGCGAAUUUCUCUCUCUCUCUCUCUCUCUUUUUCUUGCUUCGAAGCGCGUCAGACCGCGCCUGUUUCUCAAAUAGUCGCGCUCGCACGAAAAACAGUUCGAGGAAAUUUCGAAAGAUCGAAUCGAAUCCACUACUCGUCUAUACCGGCUUGCAAUUACGACAAACAAUUUAUCACGACUUUCACGAAUCUGCGAUUUAACGAUAAUUAUCGCAACAGCAGGUCGAAUAGAAUCGCGGUGAAAGCAAGCGAAACCGAUGGUUAUCGAAACGGUGGUUGGUGUGGCGAAGGAUAACCGUAAUAUCUGUGAUUCAUGCAACGCUCAUUUACUUCCUAUUUCCUAUAAGAAAAAUUUCUAAAGAUUCUUUAAUUCAUUAGAGGCCGAUCGUUUCAUCGGCAAUUUAUUUUCAGUAAACUUACGGUAUCGAGUCCUGUUUUCCAACGUCGUGGCUACGAAAGGCAAUCGCGCGAGUAUCGACUCUGCCUCUCUUCUCGCUUCGAUAUCAUUCGAUUUUCCAACAAUCGAAACUUCUGCGAACUUGUGCAAAUUUUCUUCUCUCUCAGCCUUCCAUUAUAAAUAAACGUAGAAUGAAUGCGACGCAAAUACAUUCUUUCGGUUUAAAUUUAGUAGAUCACUUGAUGAUAGUCGUAGACAGACGGUCUCUUUUCUUACGAUUUCCAACAUACAACGUGUAAAUCUUUUGUGAUCGAAUCGAGCCACAUGUUCAAAUACUUACGAACGGUAGCGUAUUAUCUUUCAACAAUGUCGCCUUCGCACAGCUUAUAAAUAUUAUUCCACUGCUUGGUCGUUCGCGUAUGUAUCUCAUACGAUUAAAAACGUAAUUCGUGAAACGAAAUAAUAGAAAUUCAUUCGAUCGAUAACAUCGAUUCCAUCUGUUAUUUGAAGCGCUAUCAGCGUACCGAAACGGUGAAAAACAGGCGUAAAGAUCGACGAAACAAUUACAAGGUAGAACAGGUCCGUUUCACAAUCGAAUCGUGCAGCAGCUAGCCAAGCCACGUUUUCCUCGAAACUGCAGAUUUCCGUCCAACUAGAUGGACAUUUCGUAUCAACCUUGACUAGCAGAACUCGUACGAGAGAGGCGCGAUAUCGCGACGUGGCCAAGGUGCAAUGCAAUUGCACAGGCUGCAUCGUCCCCGAACAAGGCUGCGGUAAACGGUCUCGUCUCUCAGAUAACACGUGCACCGCUAUCUUCUAUCUCGCAUGUAUCGAGCUUACAUAAGGCACCGCGGUAUUAUGUCUUGUCAACGACAACGGUGCAGCGUGAAGCGAUUAGUUACGAAACUGCCUGCGGAUAUAGAGACGAGUAAACGAAAUACGAGUACGUUCGAUGUGUGUAGUUUCGCCGAUCUUCUAGGCUCGAUACAGACGAGCGAUAUUUCUUUUUGCAAGCUAUCGUUUACGAGAAGAGGGUAACGCACGCGUCGCGGUAAAAUAAAACGCGCGAAAUACGUGGCGGAGUUGAAGAAAUGGAAAAAUUGGUGCGAUGUAUCGACGCUGAUGUUAGCAAAAAUUGAGAAUUUGAUCAAUCGGAUGAGAAUCUGUAUAAAGUUAGCUGAACAAAAGAAAUAACGAUGAGAAUUUUAGUGUAGAAUUUUGUAAGUGUUAACGCCAAGUUAAUCGAAUGCUACGUCAUUAGAUAGACAACGAUCCGGAUUGCAGAAUUUCAUAAACUUCGAUAUAAAGACAAAUAUUUCAAAGUGAUGUACUUUGAAAUAUGCUAUUCUGAAAUUGUGUAUUUUGAUAUAUAGGCUGUGCUAAAUUUAAAUAACACUAGCGUCGUGAAGCGUUAUCGUUACUUUCAUGCCACCCGAUGAUUGUUCAAAUAGGAGCUCGGGUAACCACAAACUAAGAUUACGUGAAAUUUUAUUGAUAUAAAUAACGAAGUGUGUCGCGUGUGCUGCCAUAUAGUCGUAUUUCUCCAUACGAUACAAUAAACCGCUAAAACGUCUAAUAACGUCUAAUAGAAUUCACUCGCCUGCAUCGAACGUUACUCCAGUCUUCUAUACAUUUUACUAAUUCGUUUUGUAGAUGGGAAAUUGAUGAUCGAGCGACGAGAGUACGCUGAGGUAAUGGUAGGUGCAAUGGUAAAGAGCGCAAAGAUGCACGAUAGAGUAAGGAUGUGCUACUUGCACGCGUGAAAGUGGAGCCACGCGAGGAAACUUCACGACUUUGCCGCGAUUAGUCCGAUGAGUCACCAUCGUGCUAGUUGUAGGAUCGCAAAAAUAUGAUAGACACUGCGAUACUGUAAUUAUUUCAUUAGAUACGAAGAAACGUGCACGUAGGAUAGUCCUUGACGCGUUCGCUUCAAUCGCAACAUCUACGCACGCUAGUCUUCGGGAAACAAGUUUUUACGAAUUCGGUACACGUGGAGAGAUAAAAGCUGAGAAAUACAAGUCACUGACUGCAUGACGAAAACGCGAUAAUCGGUUGUAGUCGAAGUUUUCAUUGCCACCGAUAAUCCAUGGAAUAAUUAUCGAUAAAGACAAAGACAAAUUGUCCAACUUAAGAAAAAGAAUUAUUUUCUAUUUAAUUUUCCUAUUUAAUUUUCGACAUAAUUGCGACAUUAACAGCACCGUAUGUUUACCUCGGCGCGUUCUUUGAAUCGUUGUAAAUCCGAUCGCGUCUUCUUAUUCCCAGCUCUUACGGGCUAUAAAUGGUAAAAAAAGUCUGUUUACUUGUUAGAAAGAAAAAGAAGCGAGGUCGAGACGUAGAUAUUCGUGUAGGGUUAAAUGCUGAAAACUCAUCGACCAGUAAAAAUCAUGGUACAUGUUCGACAACAGGGAAAAGGCAAAAGGGCCAGCGAUGACUUUCUCGAUUGAUGCAUUCUGUCGUCACAGAACGCACGAGUGUUCCGGUGCAUACGAACGCUCACUGAACACGUACACAUCCUGCUCGUACGAACGGUUCUUCGAUAAUGUGGGUCAGCUCGUUUACGCCGCCGGCUCUCGGCUUAUCUAGCUGUUAGAGCUGCAUAUACAUUUCAACGACUUAUUCGUAUCUGCAAGCUACUUGCAAAAAUAUCCUGAAUAAAAGAGAAGAACAGAACGGAGAAAAGAGAGAGAGAGAGAGAGAGAGAGAGACAAAGACAGGGCCAGAGAGACAGGGAGGAAGAAUUUUCAAUUCGCCAAGCUAAUGCGAAUCUCAUUGCUGGCGUGAACGUGCACGUUUGAUAAGAGGGCGAGAAAGAAGGAGGUCGAGAUCGUAUAAUUUCAUCGGUCGUAGCCCGGCGAUUUAUCGCCGGAUUGAAUAGAAGAUGCGUUACGAUCGGUACUUAUAUCGACACCACGAAUUACGACGCAGUGAGAAUAUUGGCACGUUUAUCGUUAACCCUUUUAACCGAAGCGAUUCUAGUGAACGCCCGAAUUAGCACUGGCUAAGUGGUUGAGUCGUUCUCUAAACUAAGAUUUAAAAGGUGUGAGCAAAGGAUUUCCGGGUUUUCACUGUUACCGCAUUGCGUACAGACUGGCAAACGACCACGUCGGCUAGUUAGUUGCACUUGCGAACGCGAUGGAUUUAAACGAGAUUGAAAGAGAUGACUGAUAAUUUCGACCGAGCCUCUGGCCACAGUCACGCGUUAUAGUCUUUACGUAAUACCUUUAAAUACACGUCGAAGCAAUUUAUUAAUUCUAUCGAACAAUAUUACAAGUGUUUGUUAGAUGGAAAAAAGGUUUCUUGCUACGUGAUCGAUGGAACACAACGUGUAGGGGAAGAGAAUAGCGUUGAGAUUUUGCAGAAACUCGCAAGAGUAUUCGAACGCUCGUAGACACGUUCGACGAAGAUGACGAUGAUGAUUAGCUGCGUCGUAUGAAACGUUUGGAAAUUCGAUUAACUAUCAUUUUGUUGAUAAUGUUUGAAACAUAAAACCUAUGUUAGGUAUUCGAUGCAAGUAUUUAUUAAAGGUAUUUAAAUUUUUAUACAUCCUCGGAUUGAUUCCAAAUUUGACCGAUAUAAUCAUGACGAUCGUGUCUCGUUUCAAUGUUAACGAAAGUUCGAAAUGUUUUAUAUUAAUACAUAUCAUAUAUGCGUAAGUGUUUUUUAUACAAGUGUUAAAUUACCUUCGGAAACUUCGCGUAUGUUGGUGCUACGUUUCGCAGAAUUUGAAUUAAUCCCGAGCGAAACUCACCGUGCUAUACGUGGCUUCCGAUUCAUUCUGAUUUCUGUUCAUAAUUAACCAGCGAAACUUAGAAGAGUUCCCGUGUAUAUAAACCGCGUUCGACUAUGAACGUGUAACAAAGCUUCGACCUUCGUUUGAUAUCAAUUUUGAUACCGUAUUAUGUGCAUGGAAAUGAUUCGUGUCACAAAUUAUUGUUGUCAACGAACGAUCAUAAACUCGAAUAUUUGUAGAUUGUCGGCUUGGUUCGGAGCUUGUGAAACGCGAUUACGAAAUACUUGACGCGAACACGUACGUUUGGAUAAUGGAACGAAAAACUGGAAGUGAUGGUUAUUAAGUGAAAGAAAACGAUGAUUAUUAAGUAAAAGAAACUGAUCGUUAACGGACUUUUUAUAAUUCGACGACCGUUAAACUGUUUACGAUGCAACUUUUUUUGGAGUAAAUCAAAUCAAUAAUAACUGACGUAAGUGAUGCCUACGUGCAAUCUUUAAAAUAAUGCGGCUGAUUGGCGUCAAUUGACGCGGAAGCUCGUUGAAUCCAUUCAACGACAGAAAAAAAUCCUAUUCUUCGGUUUUAUUCCGAUGGCAAAAAAGCUCUGCACAACUGUUACGACUUAGUCGUUCGCGUAGGUGCGAAUCGUUAAAGAGUUGCACAAGGUUACUUGUAGCGAGUACGCGAACGUGAUGACGAGGCCAAAACUAGCAACGAGAAACUGAUGCACCUGGAACGCAGGCAACCGAGACGAAACACACGUACCGCAGACGAAAAAACGCGUGCGUUACAUCAUUUCCUUAUCGAACGUAACUACGCUUCCUUUUAAACCGCUAUAUCAGAAGCAAAAGCUGCGGCUUAUCAGCGCGCUGAGAACGAUUAAAUGGCAUACUAUCGCAAUCUUAAUUGUCUCUUCCGAAAUCGGCUGACUUUAAUCCUGUAAACACGGAUACAUGUUUUUGAACUGUUGAAUAUUUACGUUGUCCAACAAUUGAUUUUCGACAUUUCUAAUGGCCGAAUGUUCAAUAUUCCUCAGCAUAGAAAUUUCGAAAUUUCGAAUUUCAAAUAUUCGCAUUUACAAAUCCUUUGUGGCCCGAAUGUCUAAUCCCUCGAUGUGAAUAUUUAAAUUUUCAAAUUAUGAAAUAUUUACAUUUCAAAUAUUUAAAACAAUACAAAUCCCUCGACUCGAUAAACUAACAAAUUUCCAGCGACAAAUUUCUCUCUUUUCUUCAAAUUUUCAAAUUCUCGUGUUAUAUACACGUUCCAACUUUUUAAUAUCUACAUUUUCAAAUUUUCAACAUUGAAACUUUCGAGCCGAGUAAUUAUCAAGACUGGAUUAUUUCCAAUCACACUAUAAUAAAUAUCAGUACGUAGGUAUGUUUUCUUUCGUAAUUGCCUUACUAUACACACCAGACUAGACCCACACACGUUUAUUACCGUAUUAAAAAUCUGACGCAAUGAACCAUCGUGACGCGUAGCACAGCCAGUGCAAAUUACGAAAACUGGAUAAAAGUCAACGUAAGAUUAAGAGAAAAGUACGUACUAACCAUCUUACGUAUCGAAGACACGUGUUAGAUCUAUUAAAUGGCCAGUAUUCACGUGCGUUUCGAUGCAACGAGAGAUUGACGCAACCCGUAAUCGAAAUUAAUAAAGAAAACGGAAGAUUUGAGGCACUGAUCUCCCUCCGAUCGAAAAGGAACAGAAGGUCAAAGUUAAUCUCGUCCACGUUCAUGAUUUAUAUCGGGUUAUAUUAAAGUAGAGGCACGCCGCUCACCCUCUAGUUUUCCACAUGUGCAUCCGAAUGCGUCACAAGCUUGUCGUAGCGAUUAUUUCGCAACGUGUCACGAAUCGAUCGAACAAUGUUUUCCACUUCUCGAUCGAAGAAUUUAAAGGAUGGUUUUUCGUAACGAGCGUUGUGUAAUUUGCAAGUGUUGGAUGUGAACACUCGAACGAGUAUUCAUUAUAUUCGAAUGAUUUCAACAUGUAAAAUAAUUCAGUCGUACGAAAAAAAAAACUACGUUGAUCCUAUAAUGCCAUAACUUGAAAAGUAUAGAAAAUCGAUGAUGUUACAGAUAUUGUUCUUUUAAAUUUACCCCGAAGCUUAAAAUUAAUUUAUAUCUAUUCUACGGUUAUUAAUAAUUUACGACAGCUCGAUUCUCGUUCAUUUGGCACAUUCGAUGGAAAAAGUUAAACACUCGUACAUUGAUAUCUAUCGUUCUCAAGAUUACUAAACUAUUAACGGAUAAAUAAGAUUCUCAUUUCUAAACAAUGAUGAAAAGCGUGACGUUAGAAUGAAAAAAAGAUUCAAGGUAACGAUGACACCACGACGCUUCAACUUUACAUCAGACUAUUUUAAUAGUUUCUCAAAGUCCCUAAAUUUCUAAAUGGAAAAUUACCGUGUGGUAUCUUUCAAUCAUUUGCGUAAAUUUCCUAAUGUAUCCUUGCGUAUAACAUCUAUCUAACUUAUCAGUCUACGUAAAUUACAUAUACUACGUACAUAUACAAUCAGAAAGAAAACUUGUAAUCUUGUAACGCGAAAAAUCCCAAUAGUCAAAGUAUACGUGUCUAACAUCUACCUAACUUAUCAGUAGAUCGUGGACUUUUAUGUGUUUAUAGGAAAUUUAAAAGUGCAAAUGUAUAUAGAAUAUGCGUGCUGUACAAAACUACAUGAAAUGUUAAAAAAAAAAAUAACAUACUUGUUACGUUUAAUAAAUGACACGAAUAGUUCUUUA